CGGUAUAGAUACCUACAACUGGGAAGAGCUCCUUCUUUCCCAUAUACAUAACCCCACUAUCCGGUACUUUAUCCGCAUCUUGCAAAACACAGUUUUUGGAAGACCAAACAACAGCAAGGUCAACUCAAAGGAGCUAUUCUUCCUCCAGUGCGUCUUCGAACCAGAUACUCAGGUAAACGCCGCCUCCUUUCUAUUUCAUCAUAUCCGCACCUUAUGUGCUAGAGG
rnacentral:lncRNA from 1 species